ensembl:lncRNA
GUGCUGUGCUCUGUUGAACCUGUGCACGCCCAUCUUGCCCUAAGUCUGUGCAGCAGCAACCAGGCUGUGAAACGCAGGAUACGGCUUGUCACCACCAACCUUCUCAUCUUCCCAGACGGCAACUCGUUCCAUCAGAUGCUGACUCCCCUCCCGCACCCUCUAACCUCCGUGAAGUCACCUGUUCUGAGUUGUCCGUUCGAGUGGAAUCCUGCAGCCUUUGUCCUGUGGCAUCUGGCUUACCGCUUAAGCACAGUGUCCUCUGUGUCAUCCACGCCGUCGAAGGGGUCGGAGCUCUGUUACUGUUUGAGGCUGUGUUGGAUACACACACAGUCUGCAGUACAGACUGCAUUCUCGUUUCCAGUGGUCUGUGGAUGGAAACUCGUUUCUACACUUCGGCUCUUGUGACCAGUGUACAUGGGAGCAGAUACCUAUCCCCGCAGAAACCCAGCACUCCCCUUUCAAAGCUCCCCUUUCUUUCAGCAUAUCCAAAAGUAGGCUGGAGCUUUCAAAAAGACCUCAUGAAAUAUCAAGAACAGAAGAGAAAACCAUGGACAUAUGAGAAGCAAGAGACGGGUUCAGCUCCCACGAGACCUUGGUGACCUUGAUGGGGACACAGGUCCUGUGUGGCUCCUGCUUCCCUCCAGGCCCCCAGGGUCUGGCUCCACCAGACGGACCCGUGUCCCUGCAGAAGCCACUGCCCACAGCCCACGACUCACUCUCACACAUGGGUUGUGCUGCCCGUCGCCUGGCCAGGACAGUGAUCCUGCUUUAUCCACCUCUCAGUUGGGUCCAUGUAGCUCUUGUCUGGGGACAGACUUGUCUCGGGCCCCGGGUGGCAUGUAAAAC